AUCAAGUCUAGCAUAUUGCUGGUUACAGAAAUCCUUGUCUUUUAUUUUUUCCUUUUCUUUUAAAUUAGCACCUUUCUUCAUUUAUCUAGUUAUCCUUACAUUCAACUGACCAGUUCUUCACUUGAUUCCCUUGCUCACCACAGACAGUUCCUGCUGUGCUCUGUCUCUCCUGUGUCUGGCAUCAAGUAGAACACAAAUAUGUCUUGAGUAAAUGGAUGAUUCUAUGAGAGCCAUUGCUCUUAUUUCUGUAAGCUUUGUGGGGAUAGCGUGGGGGUCAAAGAGCCCAUGCCACUACAGGAAGAUGGGUUAGGAGCAGUGGUGUGCUUGAGCCUACUUGCACCAGAGAGGCACUUCAGCAUGUCUUCCCAACACCAUGAUCAGCGAUCUUAUGUUUGUGGCUUGACAUUGGAUUUGGUGAGAUUAUUUAUACUGUGAAGUUGGAAAACACUGCAAAUCAAUGCUUCCUCCCUCAAGAGCUGGUUGUUAAACACUUACCAACACAGCACUGACUUAGGGCAAUGAAAACAUGUAGAAACAUGCCUAUGUAGAACAAGACCAGUGGUAAGUGAAAUAAAAAGUCAUAGUUGGAGGAACGUAUCACUCUAGAGUUGUGGUGUUCAGAGAUAGGGUUUUAAGUUACCCCAGAUUUGAGAAGACUUGGUAUCCUGAGGCUCUGGAUAGGGGAAAGAAGCCGAAUCUUCAAUACCAGCUCCAGCUAGCAAAAGUGAAGGACAGCAAGGGGGCACCUGGAUUUGAACCAGGGACCUCUUGAUCUGCAGUCAAAUGCUCUACCCCUGAGCUAUACCCCCUGAUAUAAGUGGAAGCCUUAGUACCACCUUUUACCUGUGUAGCCAUGCCCAACAUUCCUAUAAAUUUUUGCCACAAGAUGUUCACCAGGCUGGGCCUGCUCAAAGCUGCCAAACCAGCCUCACUAUAAUUUUACUCCCUUGAUGCCAAACAAACACCGGGUUCCCCCUCCCUGUAACCAGCUCCCUGCUCUUUCUGGAAAAGCACCGACACUGGUGUUUAUGGCAGGAGGG
rnacentral:tRNA from 1 species